GAUGAACGCUGGCGGCGUGCUUAACACAUGCAAGUCGAACGGAAAGGCUCCUGCUUGCAGGGGUACUCGAGUGGCGAACGGGUGAGUAACACGUGGGUGAUCUGCCCUGUACUUCGGGAUAAGCCUGGGAAACUGGGUCUAAUACCGGAUAGGACCACAUUUUGGAUGGUGUGGUGGAAAGUUUUUCGGUGUGGGAUGAGCUCGCGGCCUAUCAGCUUGUUGGUGGGGUAAUGGCCUACCAAGGCGUCGACGGGUAGCCGGCCUGAGAGGGUGUACGGCCACAUUGGGACUGAGAUACGGCCCAGACUCCUACGGGAGGCAGCAGUGGGGAAUAUUGCACAAUGGGCGCAAGCCUGAUGCAGCGACGCCGCGUGGGGGAUGACGGCCUUCGGGUUGUAAACUCCUUUCGCUAGGGACGAAGCGUUUUUGUGACGGUACCUGGAGAAGAAGCACCGGCUAACUACGUG
rnacentral:rRNA from 1 species